rnacentral:pre_miRNA from 1 species
UAAGUACUCCCUCCGUCCCAAAAUUCUUGUCUUAGAUUUGUUUAGAUACGGAUGUACCUAAUACUAAAACGUGACUUGAUACAUCCGUAUUUGGACAAAUUUAAGACAAGAAUUUUGGGACGGAGGGAGUAGUAA